AGGAGGAGGGGUGGGUGGAAGGGCAGAGGGGCAACAUCUGGGCAGAGAGGAGGAGGAGGGGUGUGUGGAAGGGCAGAGGGGCAACAUCUGGGCAGAGAUGAGGUUACAAAUAAAGAGCGUGCAAAGGAGCUCUGGGGGAGAGCUGGGGCGUGGGGGCCAUUCUGUGAGACAUGGGGGGAAGGAGAGGGCCCAGCAGACAGCGAGCAAAUGGAUGUAGCCAAGGUGGCCUGGGGUUGGGGUGGGGGGUUGUGGAGAGUGGAGUCCCAAUGUGGAGUGUGGAGGGAGAGACUUGAAGGUGAGAAGCUGUGAGGAUGUGAGCAGAGAGGGGACAUCCACACAGGAAGGGCAGAGAGAAAGAUGCAGGAGGGAGGAAGAGGAAGAGCUGCAGGAGGGGAGCAGAGCUGAGGGGACGGCAGAUGGACAGUGAUGGUGUCGAGUGGAGGAUGGUGGCCAGUUGAGGGUCCACUUGGUGAGCAGACAGGCUGUGUGGAAAGGGAGAAGAUGACAGAAGCUGAGGAAGUACAUGGGAGGGUUCCAGAGUUGGCAACACAAAGAAUGGCAGAGUCUGAGGGAGUGAAACAGCUGGUGGGGCAGUGAGGAGAAGUCCAGGAGGUCAGAGGUCAGGUGAGGGGUGUGAACAGUGCAGAGUGUGGGGAGGAAGUGGCAGGGAAAAGGGGGGAUGUGAAAGCGGAAGUGCAGAGUCUCUGAUGGAAGAGAGCAGGAGAAAAGGCCGAGCAAGGAUGGGUCCUGCCGAGUUCAGUCCGCAGCCUGGAGGGUCUUAGAAGGGUUUCAAGUGACAAAGGAAGCAAGGGAGCAGCACAAUUACUAAAUCAAUCUGAUUUAUUGAAUAUUUUAGUGACUGGGAUCCAAAAAUUAUAUUACGUUUGACCAUUAAGUAAUAGAAAAUUAAUGUGGGAAACAUACAUUAAAAAAAAAAAAGGAAAGAACGAAAGAAAGAAACUGUUAGUGGGCUGCCCAAAAGCUGUCAGAAUGAAUUCCAAGUGAGAGGACUGAAAUGGCCAAUGUGGGGAUAAAUUCAGAAAGUGAGGUGGUCGAAAACCCAAUGAUGGAUCAGUCUUGAUUGGCACAAGCAAGGAGGUUUCUAGUCUCCAGACAGAAGAGGGAAUGAGUGGCGGGAAGUUAGUUCAGAAAGGCAGCAAGAAAGAAAUCAGACUGAGGAUGAUGGGCUGAGAAGCAAGCAUCAAGCGGAACAGACAGGUUGAAUGUGGUGAGCAAGUCGGAGGACAGGCAGAUUGGGCAGUGACAUUUGUCAGGAAGGCUCCCAGUGAGCUGGAGAUGGUCAGAUGGGUAAAACGCUCUCAUUACUUAAUAUCUGUACCCUGGGAUUUCAUUUUUGUUCACUGCACAACUAAAAUUUUGAAUUGGCCAUGAUUAUGAAAAUUCUUUUUUUUUUGUAAAAAAAAAUCAGAAAGGUGUUUAUUUUUAAGCAAGCAAAGAAUGAUUCAAAUAUUAAGUCAACUACCAACAGAAUUUCAGAAGCCCCAAAUGUUGAGACAAAAUUCCAUUUCAUUUCUAUGGGAUGAAAAACGAUAAAUUUAGAAUUAAAUUUUAUCAUCAACCAGCAAACCCUUCAUUAGAAAAUAAAAAUUACCCAAAUGUCAAAAUUUUUUCAGAAACAAAAUACUAACAACAAACCAUUAGGUUAAAAAAAAAAAAAAAGAGUCCAUAGCCAGCAGACCAAAAGUUUUGAAACCUCUGGGCUAAGUGGUAAGAUCUAUGUUUUACAAAGAAAUGAACUCACUUGUAAAGAGGAGUGAACAGACUUUCCUAUACCUCCUCUCUUGGUGGAAAUGUUUUCUGUUGUUGCUAUUGUAUUUUCCUGUAAUGUAAUUUCUGUACUUUCAAUAUUGUUGCUUUAUGUACUUUGAUGUUAUAAAAUUGUAUUUAUUGUAUUCUGUUACAAUCAGUCCCUGGGGUGUGAGUUAUCAGCUAGUCAAGUGAAUCUGGGGAAAGAGGAGGAACUACUUUCUCAAUUGGGAAGAGUUUAAUUCUUAGGUUGGCUCAACAUGUGGGUUCCUUCUAAGAGUGGUAAAGUUGUGGUAUCCUUUAAAAAGAAACUUAGUACAAUGGAGGAGGAAUUCUGAAGCAUCAAGACAGGAAAACAGCAAGCAAGUGCAGAGUAUCCCAGGAAUAUGGCGGAAGCCAUGGGGGCUACGUUAAGACUCAGCCCAGAAAUUUGGAAUGCAGGUUAAUAAAACCAGCUUUAAUUAAGAAUACAGCCCCUUAAUUAGCAGCUGGUGGGAUUAACUCAGACAGUAUGAACCAGAGGGAAACAGACCCUGAGACAGUGUGAGAGCGCAAGAGGAAAUGGAAGUAGAGGAACCUUCUAAGGGGGUAAAGGAGAGAAUCAGAGGUGAAAGGCAGACGGCCUAAUGCUUACAGGAGAAACAGUGGAGGCCACAAAGAAAGUGCCUUCCUACCCGGUGGGGGGGACGGAUCCAGGGUGGUGGCGAAACAAACGUGUUGGUCCGCUCAGGGUCAGAGGGAACAACCUGAGAUUCAGACCCUGAAACGGUGCCAACUUGAAUCUACCUCGUGCUAGAAUGAGUAGCCUGGUCUGUCAUCCAACACAGAUGAAGUUGGGCAGGAGCUCGCUCCCCAGACCACCAUCUUGAAAGGGAGCUGGGAGAGGACUGAAAAGGCGGCAAGCUAAGCCCCACGUGUAACUGAAUGAUGACCAGGGAUAGCUAUUUACUAUUAUUGUUAUCGUUCUUAUCAUCAUCACUGUUAUUAUUAUUAUUGCUAUUAUUGUUAUUACUGCUAUUACUAAUGAUGCUGUUGACUCACGAUUUCUUGUGACUCUGUAAUUUCCCCCUGUAUUUGUUAAUCUUGUUAACUUUUAUCUUUUUUUUUUUUUCUGUACUAGUGGUAAAAUUUUUUUUUCCUGAACUAAUAAAAAUUGGCCAAAAUGUCAA